GGCCUCGUGGCUCAGUUGGUUAGAGCGUUGGCUGUACUAAAGCCUUCCCCAUACCAUCGAGGGUUACAAUCCCUCCGAAGUGU
rnacentral:tRNA from 1 species